CCUACGGGUGGCAGCAGUGAGGAAUAUUGGUCAAUGGACGAGAGUCUGAACCAGCCAAGUAGCGUGAAGGAUGACUGCCCUAUGGGUUGUAAACUUCUUUUAUAUGGGAAUAAAACGUUCCACGUGUGGGAUUUUGUAUGUACCAUAUGAAUAAGGAUCGGCUAACUCCGUGCCAGCAGCCGCGGUAAUACGGAGGAUCCGAGCGUUAUCCGGAUUUAUUGGGUUUAAAGGGAGCGUAGGUGGAUUGUUAAGUCAGUUGUGAAAGUUUGCGGCUCAACCGUAAAAGUGCAGUUGAAACUGGCAGUCUUGAGUACAGGAGAGGUGGGCGGAAUUCGUGGUGUAGCGGUGAAAUGCUUAGAUAUCACGAAGAACUCCGAUUGCGAAGGCAGUUCACUGGACUGCAACUGACACUGAGGCUCGAAAGUGUGGGUAUCAAACAGGAUUAGAUACCCCUGUAGUC
rnacentral:rRNA from 1 species